ACUUAUUAACGCGAGUCUGUGACCCAAGUGGGGGCAUUAAAGUGGGUUCGAAGGGGCCAUUGAUAUCGGACUAUUACAGAGCUAUUAGAAGUUUUAGUCGAGUAAUAACGUGAGGGGUUGACUCAUAAUUCAACUCGGGCUCUUAAAGGUUCGUGGGCAGCACAUGUAGUGUGCUCUGCUGUUAUCAGUUUGUAUGUGAAGGUGUCGGAAAGAUCCACGGUGUUAACAAUUGGCCCGGGCCCGAGUUCAAGCCAAACUGUGCGCUGGUGGCUGUGCUCUUCUUGAAGAAACAGAUGCUUCUCGGGAAGACUCGACAGCCAUUGGAAUAUCUGUUUCCAUCCGACCAAAGGUCGGGUGGCGUAUGUGCUGACUUAAACCAGAGCAGCAACCGACACAAUAUCGACUGUUAAGCAUGAACCGAUAACUUGUGUCGUCUUGUCUAAAACGUCCAAGGCUCUUGUCCGAGAUCAAUCCCAACUCCCAUCUUUUUACAAACAUUUUCGGUUUUUUUAGACCGAUAGUUCCAAAAGAGCAGAAAAACCUAACCAAAUUAGCAUAACCAAGAAUUGUGGGGUGAAAUAGUAAUUUGCUGGUGAUUUGUGGAUUGAUGAUGGAAUAGAUCUUGCCUUAUUUUGAAGGAGGAAAGGGUCUGAAAUGUUAUCUCAAAACUCAUCUUUGUGAUACACCUGAUAACAGUUGUUUUGUUGAUAUAAUAGUUUAUAUUGUUGGAAUAAACGAUCACUUUAUCAAACGAAAAUGUAAUUUCUGCAUCAUUAUUUUACCAUCCCACAUUGAUUGUUGAUAUUGACAUAAUAGUUUAUAUUGAUUUCACUAUUCGAUAUAACUUUACUUAUUUUUUCUUAAUAAAAUAGUAGAUGUAAACGAGCCAAGCCCUCUUGAUAUCGACCUGCUACUCACAUCACGGAUGGUCUCUAUGGAUGGUUCCUGUGGUUUGCACUUUAUAAGUUGGUUUGAAGGCACUGACAAGGCACUAGUUAUCGAAGUUCUACUCCAUCGGACCUAG
rnacentral:lncRNA from 1 species